AUUAACACACACAGAAACACGAAUAUUCACAAUAGUAGAAUGAUUCCUUUAAAAUACAUGCUUACUCAUUAAACAAGUCCUAAUACAACUCAUUUUUUAGGCACGCACAAAUACAUCAAUAAAAUCACAAAAGAACUAAUCAGCACUUGUCAAGUCUAUAGCCAGAUUGGACUGAGUUUGAGUUCAUUGUGAAAGUCCUAUUUCACACUAGUUGUUGCUAUUGCAUUAAUAAACAAAAAACAGUUGAUGAAAACAAAAACAUCAUAAUAGUAAUCAAGAUUGUCAACAAGUUCUACGUUUCACCCUAUCAUAUUAUUGCGAAAAU
rnacentral:misc_RNA from 1 species